AUUGGGUAGGGGAGCGUUCUGUAAGCGGUUGAAGGUGUGUGGUAACGCAUGCUGGACGUAUCAGAAGUGCGAAUGCUGACAUGAGUAACGAUAAAGGGGGUGAAAAACCUCCUCGCCGGAAGACCAAGGGUUCCUGUCCAACGUUAAUCGGGGCAGGGUAAGUCGACCCCUAAGGCGAGGCCGAAAGGCGUAGUCGAUGGGAAACGGGUUAAUAUUCCCGUACUUCUUACAAUUGCGAUGGGGGGACGGAGAAGGCUAGGUGGGCCUGGCGACGGUUGUCCAGGUUCAAGUGCGUAGGCUUAAGAGUUAGGUAAAUCCGGCUCUUUUUAAGGCUGAGACACGAUGUCGAGCAUCUACGGAUGUGAAGUCAUUGAUGCCAUGCUUCCAGGAAAAGCCUCUAAGCUUCAGAUUGUAAGGAAUCGUACCCCAAACCGACACAGGUGGUCGGGUAGAGAAUACCAAGGCGCUUGAGAGAACUCGGGUGAAGGAACUAGGCAAAAUGGUACCGUAACUUCGGGAGAAGGUACGCUCUUGAUGGUGAAGUCCCUCGCGGAUGGAGCUGACGAGAGUCGCAGAUACCAGGUGGCUGCAACUGUUUAUUAAAAACACAGCACUGUGCAAAAUCGUAAGAUGACGUAUACGGUGUGACGCCUGCCCGGUGCCGGAAGGUUAAUUGAUGGGGUUAGACUUCGGUCGAAGCUCUUGAUCGAAGCCCCGGUAAACGGCGGCCGUAACUAUAACGGUCCUAAGGUAGCGAAAUUCCUUGUCGGGUAAGUUCCGACCUGCACGAAUGGCGUAAUGAUGGCCACGCUGUCUCCACCCGAGACUCAGUGAAAUUGAAAUCGCUGUGAAGAUGCAGUGUACCCGCGGCUAGACGGAAAGACCCCGUGAACCUUUACUACAGCUUGGCACUGAACAUUGACCCUACAUGUGUAGGAUAGGUGGGAGGCUUUGAAGCACGUACGCCAGUAUGUGUGGAGCCGUCCUUGAAAUACCACCCUUGUAGUGUUGAUGUUCUAACGUCGACCCCUAAUCGGGGUUGCGGACAGUGCCUGGUGGGUAGUUUGACUGGGGCGGUCUCCUCCCAAAGAGUAACGGAGGAGCACGAAGGUGGGCUAAUCACGGUUGGACAUCGUGAGGUUAGUGCAAUGGCAUAAGCCCGCUUGACUGCGAGAAUGACAAUUCGAGCAGGUGCGAAAGCAGGUCAUAGUGAUCCGGUGGUUCUGAAUGGAAGGGCCAUCGCUCAACGGAUAAAAGGUACUCCGGGGAUAACAGGCUGAUACCGCCCAAGAGUUCAUAUCGACGGCGGUGUUUGGCACCUCGAUGUCGGCUCAUCACAUCCUGGGGCUGAAGUCGGUCCCAAGGGUAUGGCUGUUCGCCAUUUAAAGUGGUACGCGAGCUGGGUUUAGAACGUCGUGAGACAGUUCGGUCCCUAUCUGCCGUGGGCGUUGGAAGAUUGAAGGGGGCUGCUCCUAGUACGAGAGGACCGGAGUGGACGAACCUCUGGUGUUCGGGUUGUGUCGCCAGACGCAUUGCCCGGUAGCUAAGUUCGGAAUCGAUAACCGCUGAAAGCAUCUAAGCGGGAAGCGAGCCCUGAGAUGAGUCUUCCCUGAUACUUUAAGUAUCCUAAAGGGUUGUCGGAGACUACGACGUUGAUAGGUCAGGUGUGUAAGUGCUGUGAGGCAUUGAGCUAACUGAUACUAAUUGCCCGUGAGGCUUAACCAU
rnacentral:rRNA from 1 species